rnacentral:rRNA from 1 species
GACGAACGCUGGCGGCGUGCUUAACACAUGCAAGUCGAACGGAAAGGCCCUGCUUUUGUGGGGUGCUCGAGUGGCGAACGGGUGAGUAACACGUGAGUAACCUGCCCUUGACUUUGGGAUAACUUCAGGAAACUGGGGCUAAUACCCGAUAGGAGCUCCUGCUGCAUGGUGGGGGUUGGAAAGAUUCGGCGGUUGGGGAUGGACUCGCGGCUUACGAGCUUGUUGGUGGGGUAGUGGCUUACCAAGGCUUUGACGGGUAGCCGGCCUGAGAGGGUGACCGGGCUCAUUGGGACUGAGAUAGGGCCCAGACUCCUACGGGACGCAGCAGUGGGGAGUAUUGCGCAAUGGGCGGGAGCCUGAUGCAGCAGCGCCGCGUGCGUGAUGACGGGCUUCGGGGGAUAAACCGCUUUCGCCGGUGACGAGGAGUGAGUGACGGUAAUGGGUAAAGAAGCACCGGCUAACUACGUG